UUCCGUCCGCAAAUUCUGUUCAAAUAUACCUCUGGCUUUUGUGCUGUCACAUUUUAUUAUAUUUUUGCAAAAAUUUAUUUUGCCACACAAAAAGCAAGAUAAUUAAGUAAAAUAAAUCUUUUAAGGAAAAUAUUUGACUUAGUUUGUCGUCUAAACUUAAAAAGUCAAGCAAUGUUUAACCAAACAAGUUUUAAUUACAAAAGCGAGUGAAAACUAAACCAAUUUCUUAGUCCCCAGACAAGCCCAGUCAAUAAAUAUUGAACCCGAGGCGGAAGCAAGUUCGUUGGAACCUUCCCUCCAGAUGAGAUCUUAUCCUGGCCGAAGUCCUCCUCCUUAGAAGCGUCCCUUUCACUGCCAGUUUGUUGGCAAUCGUCGUCCGGAAAUGCAAUCUGGACCCGUGUCAGAUCCACUGGCCCGCCGUUUUAGGCCAGCCCCUCUGCUGUUGCCUGCAAAUCUGCGAAAUGUUGCCAUGUUAUCCUUGACUCGCCUUUUAGCUGCCAAAAAUCCUUUUCGUGCCAAAAAGGAAGGAGGAGCAGCUGGCAAGCAAAAACAAAAGUCGGGAAAUUCGUUUAUCGCGCCGCAAAAUUGUUUUCGUUUUUGUAUACACAGCACAUAAUAUAUAUUUUAGUUAGUUUGCACUCUCUAUUUCCCAGCCUCUUUUGUCUGCCCUUAAAGUACUAUAAGCAAACAGAAAACGCAGCAGCUUGGGAAACCGAACUUAGAAUUGCUCUGACAGCUUUUGAAUAAAUUCUGUGAUGAUUCACUUAAUUUAAGUAUUCCAUAAA